GGUUGCCCUCACAAUGUUGUUGGCUGUGACAUCUGUCACCCCCUUGAUCACCAGGGUUGACUUGGCUGAUCUAGCUGACUAGGUGUAUCCCCUUUCUUCUGUCACGGAUCCACGUGCAUUCUCUCUAAAGCUGCAUGCUUGGGGGAAGAGGACAACCACUUAGUGUGCCAUUCGUAUGUCAUUGGUGCUCCCUUGCUAAAAGCUCCAAACCAGCUCAAGGUCCACGCUUAGACAGGAAAAAAGAAGACUUGGGGUGAAGUGGACUCACUGUCACAGCUGCCCAAACAGGCAGCCAGGAGU
rnacentral:snRNA from 1 species